rnacentral:tRNA from 1 species
GAGGGUGUAGCUCAGUGGUAGAGCGUGUGCUUAGAAUGCACAAGGUCCUGGGUUCAAUCCCCCAGACCUCCA